UCGAGAAUCUUCGGCAAUGGGCGAAAGCCUGACCGAGCGACGCCGCGUGCGGGAUGAAGGCCCUCGGGUUGUAAACCGCUGUCGUAGGGGAGGAAGGCUUCGUGAAGAACGAGGUUUGACCUAUCCUAGGAGGAAGUACGGGCUAAGUUCGUGCCAGCAGCCGCGGUAAUACGAACCGUACAAACGUUAUUCGGAAUCACUGGGCUUAAAGGGUUCGUAGGCGGCCUUGUAAGUGGGGUGUGAAAUCCCUCGGCUCAACCGAGGAAUAGCGCUCCAAACUGCAAGGCUUGAGGGAGACAGGGGUAAGCGGAACUGAUGGUGGAGCGGUGAAAUGCGUUGAUAUCAUCAGGAACACCGGUGGCGAAAGCGGCUUACUGGGUCUCUUCUGACGCUGAGGAACGAAAGCUAGGGGAGCGAACG
rnacentral:rRNA from 1 species